GACGAACGCUGGCGGCGUGCUUAACACAUGCAAGUCGAACGGUAAGGCCCUUCGGGGUACACGAGUGGCGAACGGGUGAGUAACACGUGGGUGAUCUGCCCUGCACUUCGGGAUAAGCCUGGGAAACUGGGUCUAAUACCGGAUAGGACCACUGCCUGCAUGGGUGGGGGUGGACAGCUUUUGCGGUGUGGGAUGGGCCCGCGGCCUAUCAGCUUGUUGGUGGGGUGAUGGCCAACCAAGGCGGCGACGGGUAGCCGGCCGGUGUGGGUGACCGGGCAAACGGGGACUGAGAUACGGCCCAGACGCGUACGGGAGGCAGCAGUGGGGAAUAUUGCACAAUGGGAGAAAGCCUGAUGCAGCGACGCCGCGUGAGGGAUGACGGCCUUCGGGUUGUAAACCUCUUUCAGCACCGACGAAGCGCAAGUGACGGUAGGUGCAGAAGAAGGACCGGCCAACUACGUGCCAGCCGCCGCCGUAA
rnacentral:rRNA from 1 species